rnacentral:rRNA from 1 species
GGUAGCCGUAUCGGAAGGUGCGGCUGGAUCACCUCCUUCUAGACUGCAAAAAAGAACAAGUACGGAAGUAACUGUCCGUACCUUGACGGUACCUGACCAGAAAGCCACGGCUAACUACGUGCCAGCAGCCGCGGUAAUACGUAGGUGGCAAGCGUUGUCCGGAAUUAUUGGGCGUAAAGCGCGCGCAGGCGGCUUCUUAAGUCUGAUGUGAAAGCCCACGGCUCAACCGUGGAGGGUCAUUGGAAACUGGGAGGCUUGAGUGCAGAAGAGGAGAGCGGAAUUCCACGUGUAGCGGUGAAAUGCGUAGAGAUGUGGAGGAACACCAGUGGCGAAGGCGGCUCUCUGGUCUGUAACUGACGCUGAGGCGCGAAAGCGUGGGGAGCGAACAGGAUUAGAUACCCUGGUAGUCCACGCCGUAAACGAUGAGUGCUAAGUGUUGGAGGGUUUCCGCCCUUCAGUGCUGCAGCUAACGCAUUAAGCACUCCGCCUGGGGAGUACGGCCGCAAGGCUGAAACUCAAAGGAAUUGACGGGGGCCCGCACAAGCGGUGGAGCAUGUGGUUUAAUUCGAAGCAACGCGAAGAACCUUACCAGGUCUUGACAUCCCGCUGACCGGUCUGGAGACAGGCCUUUCCCUUCGGGGACAGCGGUGACAGGUGGUGCAUGGUUGUCGUCAGCUCGUGUCGUGAGAUGUUGGGUUAAGUCCCGCAACGAGCGCAACCCUUGAUCUUAGUUGCCAGCAUUCAGUUGGGCACUCUAAGGUGACUGCCGGUGACAAACCGGAGGAAGGUGGGGAUGACGUCAAAUCAUCAUGCCCCUUAUGACCUGGGCUACACACGUGCUACAAUGGAUGG